rnacentral:rRNA from 1 species
GGAAUUUUGGACAAUGGGCGCAAGCCUGAUCCAGCAAUGCCGCGUGAGUGAAGAAGGCCUUCGGGUUGUAAAGCUCUUUUGUCAGGGAAGAAACGGGUUUUUCUAAUACAGAGAUCUAAUGACGGUACCUGAAGAAUAAGCACCGGCUAACUACGUGCCAGCAGCCGCGGUAAUACGUAGGGUGCAAGCGUUAAUCGGAAUUACUGGGCGUAAAGCGUGCGCAGGCGGUUUUGUAAGACUGUCGUGAAAUCCCCGGGCUCAACCUGGGAAUGGCGAUGGUGACUGCAAGGCUAGAGUUUGGCAGAGGGGGGUAGAAUUCCACGUGUAGCAGUGAAAUGCGUAGAUAUGUGGAGGAACACCGAUGGCGAAGGCAGCCCCCUGGGUCAAAACUGACGCUCAUGCACGAAAGCGUGGGGAGCAAACAGGAUUAGAUACCCUUG